GAUGAACGCUGGCGGCGUGCCUAAUACAUGCAAGUCGAGCGAAGGUUUUCUGGUCCUUCCUCCGGAAUAUUUUCGCGGCGAACGUGAGAGUAACACGUAUAGAACCUGUCUUAUACACUGGGACCACCAUGGGAAACGAUAGCUUACACCAUAUAACAUCAUUCACCGCAGUUCUGAUGUUUAAAACUUUGUUUUUCUAACUCAAUGAUGUAGCCUUGCGGUGCAUUAGCUAGUUGGUGGGGUAAAGGCGUACCAAGGCAACGAUGCAUAGCCGACCUGAGAGGGUGAUCGGCCACACUGGGACUGAGACACGGCCCAGACUCCUACGGGAGGCAGCAGUAGGGAAUCUUCCGCAAAGGGCGAAAGCCUGACGGAGCAACGCCGCGUGAGUGAUGAAGGUCUUCGGAUCGUAAAACUCUGUUAUUAGGGAAGAAUGUAUGUGUAAGAAAUAUAGCAAAUAGAGACGGUACCUAAUCAGAAAGCCACGGCUAACUACGUG
rnacentral:rRNA from 1 species